rnacentral:lncRNA from 1 species
UUUGAAACAAUGAUAAUGAAAGUUUUUUCAUCGUUCUAAAUUUAUGCUACAGUUAUGGUCGUAAAAGAUUAAGAAAAAUCUUAUGGGUGCAAUUAUUCCACUGACACCUGCGAAAUUACCAAAAGAACUGACCAUCGCUGUUUAUUGUAUUUUUUUUAAAUGUUCUAGUUAAACAAUCUAAC